rnacentral:rRNA from 1 species
AUUGAACGCUGGCGGAAUGCUUUACACAUGCAAGUCGAACGGCAGCGACGGGGGCAACCCUGGUGGGCGAGUGGCGAACGGGUGAGUAAUACAUCGGAACGUGCCCAGUCGUGGGGGAUAACGUAGCGAAAGCUACGCUAAUACCGCAUACGAACUCUGGUUGAAAGCGGGGGACUCGCAAGGGCCUCGCGCGAUUGGAGCGGCCGAUGGCAGAUUAGGUAGUUGGUGGGAAAGGCUCACCAAGCCGACGAUCUGUAGCUGGUCUGAGAGGACGACCAGCCACACUGGGACUGAGACACGGCCCAGACUCCGUACGGGAGGCAGCAGUGGGGAAUUUUGGACAAUGGGCGCAAGCCUGAUCCAGCCA